rnacentral:rRNA from 1 species
UUUAUGGAGAGUUUGAUCCUGGCUCAGGAUGAACGCUGGCGGCGUGCCUAAUACAUGCAAGUCGAGCGAACUGACGAGGAGCUUGCUCCUUUGACGUUAGCGGCGGACGGGUGAGUAACACGUGGGUAACCUACCUAUAAGACUGGAAUAACUCCGGGAAACCGGGGCUAAUGCCGGAUAACAUAUCGAACCGCAUGGUUCGAUAGUGAAAGACGGUCUUGCUGUCACUUAUAGAUGGACCCGCGCCGUAUUAGCUAGUUGGUGAGGUAACGGCUCACCAAGGCAACGAUACGUAGCCGACCUGAGAGGGUGAUCGGCCACACUGGAACUGAGACACGGUCCAGACUCCUACGGGAGGCAGCAGUAGGGAAUCUUCCGCAAUGGGCGAAAGCCUGACGGAGCAACGCCGCGUGAGUGAUGAAGGUCUUCGGAUCGUAAAGCUCUGUUGUUAGGGAAGAACAAAUGUGUAAGUAACU